GCAGCCAUCAUUUAAAGAAAGCGUAAUAGCUCACUGGUCGAGUCGGCCUGCGCGGAAGAUGUAACGGGGCUAAACCAUGCACCGAAGCUGCGGCAGCGACGCUUAUGCGUUGUUGGGUAGGGGAGCGUUCUGUAAGCCUGUGAAGGUGUACUGUGAGGUAUGCUGGAGGUAUCAGAAGUGCGAAUGCUGACAUAAGUAACGAUAAAGCGGGUGAAAAGCCCGCUCGCCGGAAGACCAAGGGUUCCUGUCCAACGUUAAUCGGGGCAGGGUGAGUCGACCCCUAAGGCGAGGCCGAAAGGCGUAGUCGAUGGGAAACAGGUUAAUAUUCCUGUACUUGGUGUUACUGCGAAGGGGGGACGGAGAAGGCUAUGUUGGCCGGGCGACGGUUGUCCCGGUUUAAGCGUGUAGGCUGGUUUUCCAGGCAAAUCCGGAAAAUCAAGGCUGAGGCGUGAUGACGAGGCACUACGGUGCUGAAGCAACAAAUGCCCUGCUUCCAGGAAAAGCCUCUAAGCAUCAGGUAACAUCAAAUCGUACCCCAAACCGACACAGGUGGUCAGGUAGAGAAUACCAAGGCGCUUGAGAGAACUCGGGUGAAGGAACUAGGCAAAAUGGUGCCGUAACUUCGGGAGAAGG
rnacentral:rRNA from 1 species